AACGAACGCUGGCGGCAUGCCUAACACAUGCAAGUCGAACGAGACCUUCGGGUCUAGUUGCGCACGGGUGCGUAACGCGUGGGAACCUGCCCUUAGGUUCGGAAUAACUCCCCGAAAGGGGUGCUAAUACCGGAUAAUGUCUUCCGACCAAAGAUUUAUCGCCUUUGGAUGGGCCCGCGUUGGAUUAGCUAGUUGGUAGGGUAAAAGCCUACCAAGGCGACGAUCCAUAGCUGGUCUGAGAGGAUGAUCAGCCACACUGGGACUGAGACACGGCCCAGACUCCUACGGGAGGCAGCAGUGGGGAAUAUUGGACAAUGGGCGAAAGCCUGAUCCAGCAAUGCCGCGUGAGUGAUGAAGGCCUUAGGGUUGUAAAGCUCUUUUACCCGGGAUGAUAAUGACAGUACCGGGAGAAUAAGCGCCGGCUAACUCCGUG
rnacentral:rRNA from 1 species